UACGUAGGGCGCAAGCGUUGUCCGGAAUUAUUGGGCGUAAAGAGCUCGUAGGCGGUUUGUCGCGUCUGUCGUGAAAGCUUGGGGCUUAACCCCAAGUCUGCGGUGGAUACGGGCAGACUAGAGGCAGGUAGGGGAGAACGGAAUUCCCGGUGUAGCGGUGAAAUGCGCAGAUAUCGGGAGGAACACCGGUGGCGAAGGCGGAUCUCUGGGCCUGAUCUGACGCUGAGGCGCGAAAGCUAGGGGAGCGAACAGG
rnacentral:rRNA from 1 species